rnacentral:tRNA from 2 species
UGUAAGAAAGACUAAG